UGCGCAGGCGGCCAUGUGUGUUAGGCGUGAAAGCCCGGGGCUUAACCCCGGAAUUGCACCUAAAACUACAUGGCUAGAGCAUUGGAGAGGGUAGCGGAAUUCACGGUGUAGCAGUGAAAUGCGUAGAUAUCGUGAGGAACACCAGAGGCGAAGGCGGCUACCUGGACAAUUGCUGACGCUCAGGCACGAAAGCGUGGGAGCAAAAG
rnacentral:rRNA from 1 species